GAUCCUGGCUCAGGAUGAACGCUAGCGGCAGGCCUAACACAUGCAAGUCGAGGGGCAGCACGGUGUAGCAAUACACUGGUGGCGACCGGCGCACGGGUGCGUAACGCGUAUGCAACCUACCCAUAACAGGGGGAUAACACUGAGAAAUUGGUACUAAUACCCCAUAACAUCAGGACCGGCAUCGGUUCUGGUUGAAAACUCCGGUGGUUAUGGAUGGGCAUGCGUUGUAUUAGCUGGUUGUGAGG
rnacentral:rRNA from 1 species